rnacentral:snRNA from 1 species
GGAUGUGAGGGCGAACUGGCUGCGAUAAUCUGUCACCCCAUUGACUGCCAGGACUGAUUCAGCUGAUUGGCUGGCUAAGCCAGUGUCCUCUUCCUCCCUCACUGCUCUUUGACUGUCCCUCCCCAAGCUGCGGGGAGGAAAAGGAAAAGGACGAUCACACAAGUAGCUGCACUUCCCUGCUAGAAUCUCCAAAAUCUCACUGACAUUUUUUUCAUUGAAAUAGAAAAAAAAAUCCUAAAAUUCUUAAGGAAUCUCAAAGGAUUUUGAAUAGCUCAAAAAUCUU